AUUGAACGCUGGCGGCAGGCCUAACACAUGCAAGUCGAGCGAGCGGCGGACGGGUGAGUAAUGUCUGGGAAACUGCCUGAUGGAGGGGGAUAACUACUGGAAACGGUAGCUAAUACCGCAUACCAUCAGAUUUGCCCAGAUUGGAUUAGCUAGUAGGUGGGGUAACGGCUCACCUAGGCGACGAUCCCUAGCUGGUCUGAGAGGAUGACCAGCCACACGUGAACUGAGACACGGUCCAGACUCCUACGGGAGGCAGCAGUGGGGAAUAUUGCACAAUGGGCGCAAGCCAGAUGCAGCCAUGCCGCGUGUGGGAAGAAGGCCUUCGGGUGGUAAAGCACGUUCAGCGGGGAGGCGGUACCCGCAGAAGAAGCACCGGCUAACUCCGUGCCAGCCGCCGCGGUAAUAC
rnacentral:rRNA from 1 species